AUGGGAUCGAGGAUGUGAAAAAGAAUUUAUCCGAGUUCUGAAAUUUCCACAUUGGAAAUGUAGAUUACUUUUUUCUAUAGCUGAGAUCCCAU
rfam:Nicotiana attenuata strain TT chromosome 10, whole genome shotgun sequence.